rnacentral:snoRNA from 1 species
AUGAUCUGAGGAAAGGCUCCUGUGUUGCUGAACCUGGCCUGUAGUGGGCGCAGCCUUGUACCAGGCAGCCAGAGCCUGACCUAAGUCAAUUCCCAGGAUAGUUCUUCUUGGAGUUUGAAUUUGCAAUAACAGCUGUGAACACUGUAGCAGCAGUUUGAUGAUCAUAUGUAUUAUUGCAAAUAGGA